GGCUCAAGCAAUCCUCCCACCUUGGCCUCCCAAAGUGUUAGGAUUACAAGCAUAAGCCGCUGUGUCCAGCUGAGAUGCCAUUUUAGAAUAAAAAAGAGGAAAGAAGGGAGCAAGGGAGGGAGGAAGAGGGAGAUGAAGGAAGGGAGAUAGUAAAAUAGUCAGGUGGUGGAGUAGCAGGAAGUGGAAAAGGGGCAGUGAAUCUCUCUGCUCAGUUAGCCCUGAGGUGAGGGAUUAGGGAGAAAUGGGAGGAAAGGCUUAGGAAAGGCUUAGGAAAAGGGUGACAAUAGCCAGGGCCGAUGUCUUCCUUGCAGGUGCUGGAAUGCGUGGCUCUUCCUGGACUCUGCCCCCUUCACGUCACAGCUGGGCCCACUCCACCCCAUCUCCUCCCAAUAGGGAAGGCCCUCCCUACCCAUUCUGCUGAACUAGAAAACACAGGAAUUCAGUUCUUGGAUUCCCGCCUUGCCAAGCUUCAGAAAUGCAUACCAUCCUCUGUCUUAAUUUGGAUCCAAGAAGGAAACCAAGAGCUGGGGAAAAUCAUGGCAACCCGCUUGUUUAGCUUCAGUGGCCCAUCUUGAAAUUUGAACACAAGCAGUCUGCUUCAGGCCACAGAGUCUGAACUAGAGCCCCACUGGCUUGCUAUGUUACCUUGGGCGAGUCCCCGGUGGGUCCCAGUAUCCCAAACUAUCAAAUGAAAGAAGAGGGACUCCAACUUGCAGAUGUUGUCGUGGAGCUGUGCCAUCUGAAUCACCUGAGGAACAUAUUGGAUAUUCAAAUUUCCAGUCCUUGUUUGCAAAACUAAGUCCAAAUCUCCCAAAGCAGAAUUGUGGAGAUCUGCAUAUUUAAAGAGCUCCCCAAGUGAUCCAGAGGUGCACCCACAUUUGGUAACUACAGCACAAGAUGAUCUGUAGUUGACCCUAAACCAGCUCCUUCGUCCAACAGAAGACUGCUCUGUGACCUUGGCGAGUCACAUUCCGGCUUCAGGGUUUUUUUCCAUCUGUAAUAUGAGGGGUUUGGAUUUGAAUAGCCGGUCUCCAAGGGUUCUUCCUACGCUGCCAAGUCUGUGGUUCCAAACUUAUGAAUGAAAUGUUAAACUUUAGGUCAGAGGCAGAGUGACGAACAGCCACAAGCUGGGACAAACUGUCCUCUGGGUGGAGGGGAGGGGAGUGCCUCUGGUCACUUGGUCUCUUCCGUCACUCUCACACUGGGGCCCCACUGCGUGCAUGUAAGGACAAUCGCUAAGGUCACCUUCUGAAUCCACCCCCAUAAAUCCCUUGGGAAAUGUUCUCCCAUAGGUCCAUAGGCUUGAGAGCCCUGCUCAGAUUUGAAUCCUGGCUCUCCAGCCGUCUUGCUGUCCUGCUGGGUGACCUUGGGAAAGUUACUUCAUGUCUCUGAGUCUCAGUUGGUUUCCUCUUCUAUAAAGUGGAGUUCAGAAUAGUACCCAUGUUAUGGGCUGUCCUGAGGGUCAAACGUGUGCCUAGUCCACCGCCUGAUGUGUAGUUGGCGAUAUGUUAACAUCAGCAAUGAUAAUAUGAUUGUUAUUAUUUCUUCCUUUGGAAUGUGGGAACGGAAAUGCCUGAUCUCAGAUUUAUGGCAAGGAUCUAACAAUGUAUCAGACAAAACAAGCCCGGUGGCUGGCCCAUAGUAGGAUCACAUUAAAUGUGGUACCUUCUCUUC